CGGGAUGUGGCUCAGCCUGGUAGAGCACGUGCUUCGGGAGCACGGGGUCGGAGGUUCGAAUCCUCUCAUCCCGA
rfam:Deltaproteobacteria bacterium RIFOXYD12_FTLL_55_16 rifoxyd3_full_scaffold_314, whole genome shotgun sequence.